AUGGCUCAUCCACUCAACUUCUUCUUCCUCCUGUUCGUCUCCGCUGUUGUAUCUGUGCGUGGUGCUGGCCUUGGGCUUGUUUUGCCGGUGCCUAUCGGUAAGAGGUACAUCGUCGGCGGGGCGGACGGGUGGCACGUGCCACCACGGGAGAACAAGGACCUGUACUUGAAGUGGGCCUCCACCAUUGAGUUCUUCGUUGAGGACUCCAUUGAAUUCAUGUACAAGAACGACUCAGUCGGAAAGGUGAACAAGUACGCGUACUACCACUGCAACUGGACGACACCGACCUCCGCACUGCCCGCCAAGGAUGGCAGCUCACUCUUCCUCCUCGACGCCCCCGGCAUCGCGUACUUCGCCAGCGCCGACAUCAAACAUUGCAAGAAGGGCCAGCGCCUCAUGCUCAACGUCAAAGGGCAGGCCAACCCUGCUCCGUCAGCUGAUAUUUCAAGCCCUCCUGCCCCUGUGUCGCCCACACCUGCACCGGGACCGGCGGUGCUUGGAGAGCCGGUAAUGGACAGCGGUGCCACAACACUGGCCUCGUCGGUCUAG
rnacentral:rRNA from 1 species